AUACUUACCUGACGCGAGAGGCACCUUGAUCAACUAGGAGGUCCUCUCAGGAUGAGGCCCUUUCAUUGCACUUCGACUGGGUUGACUCCUGCGAUUACCCCUAAUGUGGGUAACUCGAGCGUAUACUUUCUGGUAGUGGGGACCUGCGUUCGCGCUCGUCCCCU
rnacentral:snRNA from 1 species